GGUGGUUCUUGGGUGAUGUACCCGGGAACCAGAGAGGAGGGAGCCCGAUUCUGGGGUGUGUCACCCAAGAACUGCA
rfam:Myotis lucifugus cont2.35376, whole genome shotgun sequence.